rnacentral:lncRNA from 1 species
AAUUCAUCGGCUUUUUCAGAUACCAAAACGGCGUCGUUCGAGCACCGCUCGUAUUCCUCGUCCGACAUAAACAACGGCAUCGCUCACUUUUGUUUUUCACUUUUCAUCAAUCUGUGAAAUCAAAUGUACUAUGUUAAUGCCCUAAUUUUUUUAAACUGCUAUAAUAAUAGUCUAACAUUUUGCAACGGAAAGCCCUAGAAGAACAACCACGGGAACAUAUUGGGAGGAAAAACUUACCAACAAUGGGGAAUCAGUUAUGUAAUGCACGGCUAGGGCAAAUCUGAAACGACAAAGGGAGUUUCUCCACGCUCCCCACCGAAGCAGUUUCCUGGUUUCUGAUGUUUCUUCUUCCUGUGCUUUUACAUCUGUCGUGUUACCCUUGGCCUUGCCUCGUAAUUUAUUUACUUUUUUUUUAUAAUCAUAUUUUCCUAAGUACAUGCGUUUCCAAGUUAUAGCGGUAUUUGACAAAUAAUUUGUUUUCCAACAUGUAGAUUACAAUUGUUUUUGCUUUUUUGGUUAACACACUUUUAUUUUUGAGAAACUAGGUAUUUGUAUUAAAAUUAAUAAGAAGUUGUAUU